CUGUUCAGGGCGAGGUGCAAGUCCUCACUGGCGGUGACGGCAAAAGCCGAAGUCCGCGAGCCUCCUUGGAGGUCGACCCGGUGCGAUUCCGGGACCAACGGUCAUAGUCCGGAUGGAAGAACG
rnacentral:ncRNA from 1 species